UACGUAGGGGUGCAGCGUUAAUCGGAAUUACUGGGCGUAAAGCGUGCGCAGGCGGUUCGUUGUGUCGGCGGUGAAAGCCCCGGGCUUAACCUGGGAAUGGCCGUUGAAACUGGCGAACUGGAGUGUGGCAGAGGGGGGUGGAAUUCCGCGUGUAGCAGUGAAAUGCGUAGAGAUGCGGAGGAACACCGAUGGCGAAGGCAGCCCCCUGGGCUAACACUGACGCUCAGGCACGAAAGCGUGGGGAGCAAACAGG
rnacentral:rRNA from 1 species